GAUGAACGCUGGCGGCGUGCCUAAUACAUGCGAGUCGAGCGAACAGACGAGGAGCUUGCUCCUCUGACGUUAGCGGCGGACGUGUGAGUAACACGUGGAUAACCUACCUAUAAGACUGGGAUAACUUCGGGAAACCGGAGCUAAUACCGGAUAAUAUAUUGAACCGCAUGGUUCAAUAGUGAAAGACGGUUUUGCUGUCACUUAUAGAUGGAUCCGCGCCGCAUUAGCUAGUUGGUAAGGUAACGGCUUACCAAGGCAACGAUGCGUAGCCGACCUGAGAGGGUGAUCGGCCACACUGGAACUGAGACACGGUCCAGACUCCUACGGGAGGCAGCAGUAGGGAAUCUUCCGCAAUGGGCGAAAGCCUGACGGAGCAACGCCGCGUGAGUGAUGAAGGUCUUCGGAUCGUAAAACUCUGUUAUUAGGGAAGAACAAAUGUGUAAGUAACUAUGCACGUCUUGACGGUACCUAAUCAGAAAGCCACGGCUAACUACGUG
rnacentral:rRNA from 1 species